AUAACUUUUACGAAUACUAUUACGAGUACUAUUACUAUUACUUUUA
rnacentral:antisense_RNA from 1 species